rnacentral:rRNA from 1 species
CCCUUAGAUGUUCUGGGCCGCACGCGCGCUACACUGACACGUUCAUCAAGUCUAUAACCUUGACCGAGAGGUCUGGGUAAUCUUUUAAAAACGUGUCGUGCUGGGGAUAGACUAUUGCAAUUAUUGGUCUUCAACGAGGAAUUCCUAGUAGACGUAGUUCAUCAGACUGCAUCGAUUACGUCCCUGCCCUUUGUACACACCGCCCGUCGCUCCUACCGAUUGAAUGCUCAGGUGAGCCAUUCGGACUUUCAUCAUGCUGGUUUCCAGUUUUGAUGAAGGAAAGUCUUGCGAACCUUAUCAUUUAGAGGAAGGAGAAGUCGUAACA